GGCUCCGAUGGCACGACUGACAUAGCAAUUUCGAUGACAUUUAACUCCCAAACCAGAGUGAACUAGAGGAUGGUGCAUUUGACAAACUUGGUGAACUAAACGAGAUCUAAAACUUUGUCAAUUGGAGCAGAAGCCAAUUUGGCCUGGAUGAAGAGAUACAAGGUUCCAAAGAUCCUUCGAGCAAACUAUGUUGCUCUGGUGACUUAGAAAUAUUUCAAAGUGCCAAAACAACACCCAAAAUUUCCUUGUGACCCAAAUUUGAGCAUGUUGUGAUCAUUUUCAUGAGAUGGCCCUAAAACAACUUUUGUUCCUUACAAAAUUUGCUACAACUUUGAUUUAGAGAGUUUUGACAUGCAAACAUUUUAUGAAACACUUUUUAAAAUCCUAAGCAAAAGAGGUCUAUAUGUCACCCUAUGUGAAACUAUGACUUACAAGCAUAAUUAGAGCAAGUGACCAACAUGAACAUUGAUCCCUAGGAAAUGAUAAGCAUAGAUAAACUAGUUACCAAGAUUGUAACCACACCCUAGCAUAAGGUACACAAGAUCAUAAGCAUAACAAGCACCAAUUAGAUAGAAAAGCACACACUUAGCACAUGAAAUGAUAGGGUCCACAUGACAUGAUGCUCAUGAAAUGAAAUGAUGAUGAUCAUGCUCAUGUCAUUCAAGAAAAUAAUGCAACCAUAACACUGGGGUGUUACACUAUGUUGCUUCUAUCCUCAGAAGUACGCCCCCUUUUACUCUGUUCUACUUCUAUUCCUAGAAGUAUCACCCACAUAUAUACACACUCCAAGCACAUGUGCUGCUCCUACCCUAGGAGUACGCAUUCCUCUAUUCACAUGCAUUCACUUUUUUCAUUUUAAAAAUGUUCUACUCCUACACUGGGAGUGAACACCAAAAAUAUAUGUCACCAUCCUAUCCUUUUUCCGUCAUCCAAUAAAGCUCUAGUUACUCCAGUUAUCACUCCCUAGCUAUUAAUAUAUUUCUAGUGAAAGGCUUGGUUGCUCUCAGAAAAAAGAAAAAAAAAGAAAGUGGACAAAUGUCCCAAGAAAUAAAGUAAGAGAGCAAGCCAAGUUCCUCCAAGGUCUUCAAUUUCCAAAUAAGGGAGGUAUGUUAACAUGAAGGAGCAAAUGUAGAAUUAGAUCUCCACCACUAUCAUCAUCGCCAUUUAUAUCACUCGCUUCACUCCUCUUAUUCACAUGCACAUAUGAUCUUAUUGUAUAACUAGUUUCUUUGGAUCCAGGGUUUAACUAUACAACAUAUGUUUGCAAGUAUGUUUGAGAUGUCUCCCCACCUAUGAGCCCCACAUAAGCCUAUUAGAUGUAGGGUGAGAGAGAGAGGGCAUAACGCCACUAUGCCUUAAUUCCACAAAUACCACAUAUUCUGAGAGUAGAGAGAAGGCAUACAUCAUUCAUUGGUAAGGAUCCAGAAAUACCACAGAUGAGAAACUUGAAAGGGUCAUAUAAGUAAACUCUAAGUUUUAUUCAAAAAUCUUACAAAAACUCUGGAAUAAUAGUUGAUCAAAGAGCGAGAAAUAUAGCACUUAACUUGACUAUUCUGUCUUUUAACUGCUCAAGACCCAAGUGAUGGUUACAAGCCCCAUGGUGGAAGGUAAUAUGAGUAAGAUUCAAGUCAGAAUAGUUCAUUUUAUUUUGGAGGAGAGUUCUUGUUUGAAUGCAUGUGUACUUUUGAGGCAUGAAAGCAUUGUAGCAAUUCAUGAUCCAUCACUUUUAUCUUUGCUCAGAGACGAGCAAAGGGUAAGCUUGCGGGAGUUGUUGGCGGUAGAUAACUCCUAAUUUUAACCGUCAACUGGACACGAAAAUGGAUCUAUAUGCAAAACACCAAGUAGAUAUAGGGUUAUCACUAACAGAAUUCCAUAAGUUUUGGUGAUUGUCUAUUUCUACAGGGGGUUAUCGGAAUAAGAAUAAAAGGAUGUCC
rnacentral:lncRNA from 1 species